rnacentral:rRNA from 1 species
GCCAGCAGCCAUGUCACCCUGCAGCUCACCGCUGGCAGCCCACUGGAGCUCAGCAGGUGUGAGCCUGGUCAGUACCUGGAUGGGAGACCUCCUGGGAAAGCUAAGAUUGCUGCUGGAA